UUCCUCCUGUUCCAGUUGUCAGCAAUGAAGGACGUGCCCGGCUGUCUCUGGUGAAAGGAGACUCACAUGGGAGAGGCUCUUGGGCCUGCUUGUAUUUGUGCCUCAGCCUCUGAGUGUGCCCUGGGUAACAACAGGACAGGACAUUCGAACUAAUACAGAUGUGAACAAGGAAAGGCUCUUGGGCGACUAAAGAUUCCUCAACAGAUACACUACCUACGUCUGGUCUGAGACUGGCCUUAUCCUUCACCUCAUCCUACCACUUCUUGGAGGCCUGAGGACCCUGGAGAAGACCACCCAUUAUUCUUUGAGACAGAAGCCAGCCCACAGGAAAGGAAGGGAUGGGUAAUUGUCAGGAUGGAGCCUUCCUCAUGGGUCUGUGACCAUGCACCCAAGCCACCAGCCUACUAUUACUCUGACAUCAAAAGGAGACGACAAACGUAUAGGAUAGAGUGAGAGUGCACUGGACACUGAUGCACAGGGAUGCACAUUUGGUGACAGUGUGUGUCACAGUGAACCUUCUCAUUUGCAUUGCUUGUAUGUGAACACUUACUUCAUUUUAGUAAGAAUGUGAAAGAGUCCACACUUUGAAGCUCAACUCUAAGCCUUGAUAUUUAGCACUGUGCUCUGCAGGGUUCCUGUAAUUGAACCAAGUGUGAGAGAAUCCACAGUCAUUGGACCCCUGGAGGGUGAUUUAACUGCUUUGAGAGAUCCUUUCUGAGAAGUCCAUCCUGGUGUGAUGAACAAGUUCCUCCUGGUGCCAGGCAGUCAUGUCUGUUCAGUGCAGAGUCAAGAAAACCUCGAAAGCUGGGAACUUCCCCGUGUUGUAAUUGUGUCAAGUGAGAGCACUGCACGAUCAAACUCUUUGUAAAGGAAAAAAAAAUCCCUCCUUAAAACAAACAAAAACAAACAAAAAAACAAAACAAAACAGAAUUCAUCAUUAAAAUAUACUUGAAAGCA